rnacentral:misc_RNA from 1 species
UUUCCGUAGGUGAACCUGCGGAAGGAUCAUUACAGAGUUCAUGCCCGAAAGGGUAGACCUCCCACCCUUGUGUAUUAUUACUUUGUUGCUUUGGCGACCGCAAGCUCGCCAGAGAAUACCAAAACUCUUUUUAUUAAUGUCGUCUGAGUACUAUAUAAUAGUUAAAACUUUCAACAACGGAUCUCUUGGUUCUG